CUUGCAAUGACCUGUUUCACUGAUGUUAUUAGUAAAGCUUGAGACUGGGUAAGAUCUAUUCUUAUGAGUAUGCUUUAACAAUCUGAUCCUUUGUGUUUCCUUAGGUACGUUACAUAUAUUGGCUCACAUCAACCCUCUAAGAAAGGAAAUCGAAGCCCAGAGAGGUAACUAGACUUGCCUGUGGCCACACAGCUAAUUAAUAACAUAGUUGGGAACAGACUUCAUCUCCUAACUUCCAACUUCGCACCCUACUGGUUUUUUCCCUUAAAAAUAGUGCUGCUGGGGGCUUCCCUGGCGGCGCAGUGGUUGAGAAUCUGCCUGCCAAUGCAGGGCACACGGGUUCGAGCCCUGGUCUGGGAGGAUCCCACAUGCCGCGGAGCGACUGGGCCCGUGAGCCACAACUACUGAGCCUGCGCGUCUGGAGCCUGUGCUCCGCAACAAGAGAGGCCGCGAUAGUGAGAGGCCCGCGCAUCGCGAUGAAGAGUGGCCCCCACUUGCCGCAACUGGAGGAAGCCCUCGCACAGAAACGA